rnacentral:rRNA from 1 species
GACGAACGCUGGCGGCGUGCUUAACACAUGCAAGUCGAACGGAAAGGCCCUGCUUUUGUGGGGUGCUCGAGUGGCGAACGGGUGAGUAACACGUGAGUAACCUGCCCUUGACUUUGGGAUAACUUCAGGAAACUGGGGCUAAUACCGGAUAGGAGCUCCUGCUGCAUGGUGGGGGUUGGAAAGUUUCGGCGGUUGGGGAUGGACUCGCGGCUUAUCAGCUUGUUGGUGGGGUAGUGGCUUACCAAGGCUUUGACGGGUAGCCGGCCUGAGAGGGUGACCGGCCACAUUGGGACUGAGAUACGGCCCAGACUCCUACGGGAGGCAGCAGUGGGGAAUAUGGCACAAUGGGCGGAAGCCUGAUGCAGCAACGCCGCGUGCGGGAUGACGGCCUUCGGGUUGUAAACCGCUUUCGCCUGUGACGAAGCGUGAGUGACGGUAAUGGGGAAAGAAGCACCGGCUAACUACGU